rnacentral:rRNA from 1 species
GACGAACGCUGGCGGCGUGCUUAACACAUGCAAGUCGAACGAUGACGACCGAGCUUGCUCGGUCUGAUUAGCGGCGAGCGGGUGAGUAACACGUGAGCAACCUGCCCUUCACUCUGGGAUAACCUCGGGAAAUCGGGGCUAAUACCGGAUAUGAUCUCCUGUCGCAUGGCGGGUGUUGGAAAGUUUUUCGGUGCAGGAUGGGCUCGCGGCCUAUCAGUUUGUUGGUGGGGUAGUGGUUCACCAAGGCGAUGACGGGUAGCCGGCCUGAGAGGGCGAACGGCCACACUGGGACUGAGAGACGGCCCAGACGCCUACGGGAGGCAGCAGGGGGGAAUAUUGCACAAUGGGCGAAAGCCUGAUGCAGCGACGCCGCGUGAGUGAUGACGGCCUUCGGGUUGUAAACCUCUUUCAGCAGGGAAGAAGCGAAAGUGACGGUACCUGCAGAAGAAGCGCCGGCUAACUACGUG